GAUUUAUAUACACAACAAUAUUGCUUUGGAAAAUGUAUUGGUGUAUAAAUAUGGUAUGGAGUGAAAUGUCAUGAACUAACAACUUGAGAUUAAAAGCUAUGAUGAAGAUACAAGUUCUGACUUCUACAAUGAAUGGAUUGUUUAUAUAAUAUAUAAAGGAUGCAAUUAAUGGCUAUCCAGCGACAACACCGAGAACACGACACCCAUUCUACAUAUUCAUCAUCCGGUUGACAACGAUGCUUAUCUGAGUUCCAGUUACAGUAUAAACAUAUGUUUGUCAUGUCUUCGGAAUUUUCUAAUAGAUAGGUCUUUAAAUAUUCUCUAUAAGUGUUAGGAUCAAACUCUAAACUGAACUUGGAAUUGUCCAUAAAUUUAAAUGCGUAAUAUAUAAUAUAAACUCCACAAUUAAA